CUUGGCUUGGCUGGGGGAUAACGCAGCCUGUGUUGAUGGAGCUCCAAGUCUGCUGGUAUUUGCAUGCAUGUAUUUGCAUAUAAGCAGUCAGAGACAUAUGUGCAUGUUAUAUGCCAUAUGUGUAUGCACAAGAACGGGCUCUGUUGUUGUGAUGUAUGGCUGCAAGUAUUCCAUAGCAAUAUCCACAUGUGAACAGGAGUGCCAUACUUGUGUGUAUAAAAAGCAAGCACGGGGCUUUGUUAUCCACCAGAAGCCAUGAGGGCUUUUGAUUCGAUAGAGCAAAACAGAAGGAGGUGUAUCCACAUACUCUCAGCCUGAUACUCUACUUUGUCAAGUCAUUACCAUUAUCAGAUGAAGGCAAUUUUUGAAUAUUAGCACAACCCUGAUUAAAAACCUGAUGGUGACAAAUGCUGGAGAAGGGGAAGGAGGCAACCAUGAAGAAGUGGCAGGGGCAAAGUGCUAUGGACUGACUGCAGCCCCCAUUUCCCAUUCUCCUGCAAUGAAGAGACUUGGCACCUCUGUGUGAUGAAAUCCAAAUACUGGCUGUGGUUACGGAACUGAGCAAAACAUAGAGCAGAUGAAGAGAUACAGAGCUGUAGCUCGCGGGGCCUCAUUGUUCGGGAACACCGCGUAACAAAAAGAAAGGCCAUGUACUGAGGAGCUGCUGUGUCUGCAAGGGAUCUCUUCAAAACAGAAACCAAACAAAACUGAACAAACCCAACGAUUUACUCUGCAGCCAACAAUGGCCGCUGCCAAAGUCUUGUACCUGGCAGCAUUCAACAGACUGGUACUGAUCUUGUUUCAAUUCUUUGCCUUUCUCCCUGUAUCGGAAACACUUGUGCAAUUACAUUCUGUGCUUUACUGAGAGGAGAAGAGAAGCUCAGUGAAUUUCUCCUUGCAUAGGAGUUUGUGGCAGAACGAGAGGCUGAGCCCUGUUUCCUGCACCCAGACGCAGUGCUGCAAUCACAUGACCACUCCUCUGUAGGCACUUUCCUUGAAUGAUGUCUACCGUGGAAAUUAGUCUGAAGAUUUGAACGUAGCUUCCCAGUUCUGACACUGACACGGAGAUGUCAAUAUGCAUCAAUAUAGAGACUGGCAAUCCUUCUAGCUCAACAACUGCCUUGGAGAUUUAAUCAGUCUUGGAAGUACUACUUCACUGUCCUUCUACUGAUGAGAAGGUUGAGAGAAGCCAUUAUACAGGUGUGACAGUAAAGAAUGAAGCCUCUUUCCUCAAGCAAUAAAAUGUGAGCAGUUGUGGUAAUUUACAGACAUUUUAAUCCCUUGGUCUUAAUAUGGUUUUGAACUGAAAAGGUAUAGGAUCUGUUUCCUAGAGGUGGUAAGCUAGAUGGAAAUUUAUCCACAGCAGACAAUAAUAAUAAUUUAGAUAAUAAUUUAGAUAUUGAUACGAACAUUUAUUUCAUAGACUCAUAGAAUCACCAAGGUUGUAAAAGACCUCCAGGGUCAUCCAGUGCAACUGUCCACUUAUCACCAAUAUUUCCCACUAAACCAUGUCCCUCAGUACAACAUCUAAAUGUUUUUUGAACACCUCCAGGGAUGGUGACUCCACCACCUCCCUGGGCAGCCCGUUCCAGCAUCUGACAACUCUCUUAGAGAAGAAGUAUGGUCAUAUUUGCUUUAUGCAUCACAAGCUUUUAAUCUUCAAAACUUCUGAAAUUCAGCAAGAUGUCAAAAGAGCAACAGCAGUUUAAAUUCUACUGUAGGAGCAUUAGAGCUCUGGAGACAACCAGGGUAAGCUCUUACUCCUAUAAAAGCCAUGGCAGAAUGUUAAUCAUUCUUAAAACCGGAGCUGAGCACUUUGGAUCAGUGGUAUUAAUCUCUGAAAGGUGAAUGUUGGCAGGUGUUUUCUCAGGUUCCGUUCUUCAUCCUCACUGCAGCAGUCUCUCCAUUAAAACACCCUAUUAGAGUUGUAAGCUGUAAAUAUGUCAGGAACACAUCAUAGCACCAUACUACAUGUAACAUUUCAGAUUUGAGCAUAUCUUAGCAUAUCAUGUGGAGAUCUCAUGGGGCAACACCAGUAGGUAUAUUGCAUUUUCCUCAUCCCUCUUGUUUCAAUAGAUUUUUCCAACAACCUGAAACAGUAGGUCACUUACAUGAAAUGCAUGUCCCAGAUCUUUUGAAUUUCUCUGAACUCCACAUCUUUGACUGGCUGCAGCUUUGGGGUUCUUACUGGGGUGCAUUUCUGUGGAGUGAAACACCUGUUGAUUCAAAUGGAUGAACCAAGAGCAAGCUGAACUGACAGCUAGGAUGGAAUUUACCAGCUUUACUAGCAAGGGCAAAGACCCUUCUAACUACUGUACAGCUGCGAACUUGAAGACUCAGAGCUCCAAUGCGAUAUUUUUGUAUUUAUCUAAAGUAAUGUCUGUGUGAGCAUUUGCAAGCAGAAGUGAGUUUUCUCCAUCGUUAUCCUGAGCUGACUGGAAGCCAUAUAGCAAACUAGUGUGGCAUUAGGCCUAAACUAACAUAGCCUGCUUCCCAGCUGAACUUUAUUAGCUUGGGCUUGGUGCCCUGCUAACCACAGCUGUGGGUUUCUUGUCAGCUUGGAGUAGAGGCAGAACAAGCUCGUGCCUCUUUAUAGGUAGUCCUAUAGGGUUUUAAUGUUUGUGAAUAGUGCUACCAUUAGAAAGUUGAAUGUUUCUUCUUUCUCUCUUCAGAACAAAUUUCGGAGUAAGUUGCCUAUCCUUUCAUUUACAUCCUUUGUAUCAGCAAAUGUAUUUUUCAGUCUUUGUCUGCUUUUCUUGUCAGUCCUUAUUUGUCAUUAACUAGUCCUUUUUCUUUCACCCGUGCUCUUUUUACAUUUAAAUAGUCUUAAUUUUUUUUUCAGCUUCUAUAACCAAAAAAGGCAACUCUAGAUUAACAAAGAGAGCUGAGGAAAGACUUGAGAAUUCACGUGGAAGAAAAAUGAUGUUUCUUUGAAAUUGCUUCAAAUGUUUAAUCUACAUCUCUGACCUAGAAGUUGGCUUGUUUGUAAAUAGAGCCCAUCCCAACAUUUUCUAAUUUUUCAUUUAAAAGCACACUGCUGGAAACUGCCUAUUUGUUAAAAUCAAACCUGGCUUUAUUAAAAAAAAAAAAAAAAAGCAUUGAUUUUGUUGAACAUGGUGUGGUGGAGAGCAGAGAGGCAAAAUCUGGCUUGUGGCAUUGGGGAUAAUGGUCCUUCUGUGGGUUCUGGUUCUAUUCAAAUUAAGCUGAGUGGAAAAACUCUGCUUCUGAAGAUCACAGGUUUCUGAAGUAAGAACUUUAGUAUCCUUAUUGUGGUAUUUGGUUUUGUGUGAGUCAUUACAAGGUUUAUGGUUCAAAGUUCAUAACACUUAAUAGUAAGGAGUAUGCUGCUUGCUGAACUGUUGGCUAAAGUGGCUUCUCUUUUCUUUUUCAUUUUCCACUUCUUCUGUUCAAGCCAAACACUGCUACUAUUAAAAUAGAUGCUUACCUCCUACUGAUAAACUUGUGCUCCUAAUCAGGUCUUUUGCCCAGUAAAACUUGGAAUGCCUGCUUGGUAGUUCUUUCUUCUUGUUCAGAGUAGCUCAGACAUUUUCUCUAAGCUUCCUCGCUUUGAACAAGGUGGAGGCAUCAGAGGAGUAACCUGUUGUGCUCCUUUUUUAAGAGUUUAGCUAAAGAUAUAUACAGAAACAUUUUCGCUAACUUCUGUUCUAAAACGACUUUUUUUUUUUUUUUGGUAGUUUUGUGUGUGAUCAGUGUAUAUAAGUUUUUUACUUUGUAGAAACUACUAUUAGUAUACAAAUACUUUUGCAACUGUGAAAAAUUGUCUCAAAAUUCAUUGAUCUUAUUGCUAAGGAGAUAUUCAGAGAUUUUUCUUUCUAGCUAACACACACACACAAAAAGCAAACAAAAGCUUAAGUUUUCUGUGUCCGCAUUUCUCUGUAAAGUCAUGGGACUCUCUAGGUUUGUCUAGGGCAGAAUAUGGUCCUCUUUUUGCAGAUAUGGUGUAAGCUGCAAUUAUGAGCUGUAUGACUAUGAGACGUUGCUAUAAACCAGAUCAAUGAGGAAGUGGAACUUAGGAUUUCAUAUGCUGUCUGAUGCCUCUGUGUUGGCAUGGUUCAUGCUGUUGUGGUAUGGUAUACUGGAAGGUGGUGUAGCUAACCUACUUUCUUCUCCACUAUAGAAUGUUAGUACAGUGUGAGAUUGCCUUUGAGCAAAUAGACGUUGCUUACUGCUGGAAGUGUCAUUUAGUUUGGCUUUCAUAUUGUUUAUUUUUGGACUAGUAGAAAGGAUUUCAUGCCACUGGUAUAGGAUGGCAUUUGGAAUGCUGUUUUCUGCUGAUGGAGAUAAUGUAAGGAUUUUGUAAUUAAUGUUUCUGGAAUCCCUAGCAACUGUUUUUUAUACUCCCAUAGAGAAAAAGAUGGAUGUGUUUUAUUCUUCAUCCUUCAAGGGGAAGAAAUGGAGGCUCACAUACCAGUGAAGGAAAAAAGUUAUUCAGGGAGGUGAGAAAAUGGUUCCUUACAAGGCACUGAAAAUGUGUCUUGCAAGGUUAUAGUUCCUAGGCAAAUGAAUAUUUACAAAAUGACAUUUUCACUUUUCUAAUUCUUCUGUACAGGUAUUUCAUACUUUGAAUAAGCUCCAUUAAAGCUGAUGAAAAAGAUGUUGAAAUUUAUUUAUAUAUAUACAUAUAUAUAAAUAUAUAAAGUUAGAGGCAGUUUUCAGAAUUCUUUCUUUUCUACACAACUUUUAUACUAGUCAGCUAUAGAAAAUAAUUUCAUGAGGGUAGGUCGAGGAGGAAAAGAAGGUCUUUCCUCAUUUUUAUUUCUGCUGUUGUUGUAGUGGAUCAUUUAAGUAGGCAACUUUUUUUUUUUCCCUCCCUUAAGAAAGUUAAUCAAGCUUCUGCCAUUUGCUGAAUUCAGAUAACCCUCUGUUCCAUUGUAAUCACCUCUCUGGCAAUGGGAAAAUAAUAUCAAAAACAAUUUAUAUUUUCAAUUGAAGUCAGAUUCUGAUUCAGUAGGAUGUUACAAGGAAUGUGACUUAGGUUUUUGACAGAGGACAGGAGUGGCAACGUGUCCCAGAGAUGAAAUGGUAACCAGGUUUCUCACAGCCUGCUCAGAGAUAAUCCCCACUUCCAUACCAUUUCUUCAGAUUCCCAUUUUCCAGUUUAGAUGUGGUUGCUGGAUAAGCUGGAAGGCUUUGGGGGGGGGAGGAAGAAACCCUAAGAUUGAUUUCCUUUAUUCCCCUCUAGAAUAAAACAGACACUUAAACUACUCCUGGAGGGAAAUCCUGAAUUAGUUUAAUCUAGGCCUUGAAAAAAAAAAAAAUCUCACUAAGUCUUGAGUCUAGUGUGAACAAAUCCCAAAAAGAGUCCCAGUAAGUAAUUUCAUUUUGGGUAGCAUAAGGCGGUAUUGCUCCACCUUGACAAACAGCAAUUUCUGGCUUUUAUCUCUGUGUACAUGCUGCUUUAAACCAGGAGGUGGAUUGCUUUUUUUUUUAAUUAUUAUUAAAAGAUAUUUGACCUCUCUGAAGUCACUACUUGGGACAGUUUAAAUUAAUACAGAAACACGCAUGUGCUAGACUUGCUCAAUAGUUUCUUUGUUCUGAAAAUAACUGUAAAAUGUCUAAUAAUUGACUAAAGUUAUAUGAGGCACUGCCUUACAGGGUAAGGAUAAUGGACAUAUGUACAUGAACCAGGGAGAUAUUUUUUCCGUCUACCUUCCCCUUUGAUCACAGGUGUGUUCUGUCAUUCCACGUCAGUAACCAAAAGAUUAGCUCCUAAAAUGAAAAAUAGCUUGAAAGUUGAUAUAAAAGGUCUAGUGUCCAGACCAAAAUUAAAGGAGAAGGAAGACAAGUACUUGUAAAUUACACUGGCUUCAUAUUGUGACACUGGCGGCACAAUUUUCUACAAAGGAUAUAAUCUUUCCUUAUACUGGCCAAUGAGGUAUACAACUCUUGCCAGAAGCAGGAAAAGUCACCGUGAAGAAUGUGUCAAGUUAUAGUCUGCCAAAUUAAACAUCAGCAAAAAGAAAAAUAUCUGCAAUCUUGAUAUAUUCAGUAUGGUGACAGCUAGGUCACCUCUGUAGGCAAAAAAAUCUAGAUUCAUGAAUAUUACUCAUUCUUUCUUCAAGAAGAGUUGAGACACUGUGCUGUCUCACCCUGGAACCACUGACCUCUGUUCUGCUAGCAGUUUCGGGGAACAAUGGUCUCAUAGAUAUUGUAUAGGUUUGCUUCCCUUCUCUUCCUGAAAGAACAGAAGAUGUUGCUACCAGCUAUGCUAGAGCUUUCCUUUCUGCACCACUCCCAUCUACUGCAAGUACUGGAAUUGAGCUUCUCACUUUUGGUGGAAUAAAUGUAAGAUGAGACAGUAAGAUCCCAAAUUCCAGUCAUGCAUUUAUCGUAGUUUUUUUCUUCUUUUUUAUACAGCUGCUUAUGAAAUGGCUAUUGUAACAUUUAUUCCUCUUAGACAAAAGCUGUAAAAGUGGUGAAUGGGUUGGCUGACUGACCUUGGGAAGAUGUAUCAUAGAGUGGUUUGGGUUGGAAGGGACUUUUAAGAUCACCUAGUUCCAGCCCCCUGUAAUAGGCAGGGACACCACCCUCUAUACCAGGUUGCUCAAAGCCCUGUUUCACCACCCUCACAAUAAAGAAUUUCUUCCUAAUAUCUAGUGUAAAACUAUCCUCUUCCAGUUUAAAGCCAUUUCCCUUCAUCCUGUUGCUACAAAACCUUACAAAAAGUCUCUCCCUAGCUUUCCUGUAGGCCCCCUUCAGGUACUGAAAGUGUGCUCUAAGUCCCCCCUAGAGCCUCCUCUAGGCUGAAGAGCCUGAACUCUUGCAGCUUGUCCUCAUAGGGGAGGUGCUCCAGCCAUCUGAUCAUCUUUGUGGCCUUUCUUUGGACCAGCUACAACAGCUCACCCCAGAACUGGUUGCAGUACUCCAGGUGGGGUCUCAUGAGAAGAGAGUAGAGGGGAAGAAUUACCUCCCUCAACUUGCUGGUCUGGAUUAAAAGCACAUGUUGUAGGCUCAUGUUGAGGCUUUCAACCAAUAGCCCUAAAUACCUCUCCUCAGGGCUGCCUGCAAGCCAGUCUCUGUCUGGCCUGUAUCUAUGCUUGGGAUUGCCUCAACCCAGGUGCAGGAUCUUGCAGUUGACCUUGGUGAACUUCAUGAGGUUGGCAUAGGCCCAUCUCUCAAGCCUUUCCAAGUUACUCUGGGUAGUAUCCCCUCCCUCUGGCAUGCCAACUGCACCACUCAGUUUGGUGUCAUCUGCAAACUUGCUGAGGGUGCACUUGAUCCUGCUGUCCAUGUUGCCUACAAAGAUAUCAAAUAGCACUGGUCCUAGCACUAACUCCUGAGGAAUCCCACUCAUCACCAGUCUGCACUUGGACAAUGAGCCCCUGACUGCAACUCUCUGAGUGUGACCAUCCAGCCAAUUCCUUAUCCCACUGAGUGGUCCGUCCAUUAAAUCCAUUUCUUUUCCAAUUUGGCAUCCAGGAUGUUGUGUGAGACAGUGUCAAACACUUUGCACAAGUCCAGGUAGAUGAUAUCAGUUGCUCUUCCUUUGCAUACCGAUGCUGCAACUCCAUCGUAAAUCAUGCUGAUUUUGUCAUGCGUGACUUGCCCUUGGCGAAGCCAUGUUGGUUACCACUGAUCAGUAUUGUUUUAAAGAACCUGUUGAAGAGUUGUAGCUGAUGGCGGAAUGUGUCUUAUGCACAGAGAAAUAAAUAUGACAGUAUUUGUAUCAAAUGCACAGCAGCAGUAGGUAUAGAGAAUACCAAUUGAACACUUCCUAAUGUGCCUUCUGAUAUUCUUCACUACUAAUGCUCACUGCUGCAGCUCUUUUAGUUGAGACUGUUUUGCAGUGACUUGUGUUGCAAAACCAGUGAUAUGCAAUAUGCGAGCAUUGCUGGAAAUCCAAAGUGAACUUGUAGGGGUUGCUUGAAGAUCUAAAAUGUAAUGCUUGAGACUGAUGUCAAAUUAAGUUUGAAAUUAUUUCUAGAUGCUAUUGUUUAUGCUUUUCAAAGUGGAUUUUGUUAGGUAGAGUGACUUCUAAACAAACGUGAAAUGAUGGAUAAAUUAAAGCAGUUCCAAUAUAUGAAAAGAUGACAAAGCUCUUUCCUGUUUGGUUGUAUUUUUUGGGUCAGCAUCGGUGCCUAAGUUACAGCGUGCACUGUAAAUCUCAAAGCAAACACUGGAAUCAGUGUGAUUUACUUAGUUGCAUACUGUCAAACUCUCCCACCUUUAUAUACAGUACAGGCUUUGCAUAUUCAGAGAAACCAGCUAGCUGCAAUUCACUGUUUGCAGAAAGCAACGGUAAAUCAACUUUUCAGCAGAACUAGUCCAUAAAUCAAUGAACAGUAUAUUCCUUUGAGACGCUCAAACCUGCACAGGAAAGCCACUCUAAAACCAGAUUAACAGGCAUUCUGAUUUAUGGUUGAAUCAAACAGCCAAAGUCUAUUUUCAGAGAUCUGAAAUACAAGACUUAUGUAACUUAUCAAGGUGACAAUCUCACGGCUUUCCACUGCUGCUGUUUAUUCAUUUCUUGUAGAUAUGUGGGAACAGAAAUAUACACUGCUAUGUAUAUAUGUACAUACGUUCUAGUCUUGUAGGGGGUUAAUGCCAUUUGCCUGUGAUAUGCAACACUAUACUUGGUACUGUAGAGCUAUGCAUGGUUGCUCUUUUCCUUCCCUUCAUCCUUUCACUGUUUAUAUUCUUGUUAUCUACUGUAGUCAGUCUUUGAACAUCAUGUCAGGGACCCUUGAAAAGGAGCAGGUGGUGCAGGCUUUCAGAGGGACUAAGGAACCAGUACCACUGAGUCAGCGAACUUUAUUUCCCCUUGUUGUUGUGGCUGGAAGUCCAAGGUAUAUUGUUAUUGCUGCGUGACCUGGCUGUCACAACAGGCUAUUUCACCAUCCCAUGCUUCCUGCUAAUCAGACACUGGAGAGCUGCACCGGGACUGAUAACAAUGAGAACAGCAUAGAGGCAAAUUAAGAAAAUACUUUGAAUAGACCGCAUGAAUGAAAACAUGCUGUGUAUAAUUCGCUGCUCCUAAUUAAAAGUGUGGCGGUGUUUGUAGAGUUUCAGCGGGG
ensembl:lncRNA